rnacentral:lncRNA from 1 species
CACUGGGGAGCCCUCCCUGGGGACAAGGUGCAGUGCCAGCCCCAGCCCCAGAUCUGUCCCUCUGCAGCAGCCAGAGCCUCCCUCCAUCCCGUACCGUGAUGCAGUUGUUGUAGGCAUCUCGCACCACCUCGUACUCAAUCUCCUUCCAGCCUUUCAGGGACUUGUCCACCAGCACCUGGGAGGUGUGGGUGAAGGCCUGGCUCACCAGAGCCACCAGCUCUUCCCGGUCGUUGGCGAAGCCGGAGCCCAGCCCCCCCAGGGCGUAGGCAGAGCGCACCAGCACCGGGUACCCCAGGCGCUCAGCUGCAGCCUGUGCCUGCAGGGAGCAACAUGUCAUGGUGACAAACAGGAAGGACAGGACCCUGCCCUGCCCCAACUCCCAGACCACCCCAGACCUGCUCCAGGGAGGCAGCAGCCUCGCUGGGCGCCACGUGCUCCCCAAUCUCCUCCAUCUUCUCCACGAAGACCUUGCGAUCCUCUGUCAUCUCAAUGGAGGCUACGGGGGUGCCCAGCACCCGCACGUGGUACCGCUCCAGAACGCCCGCCUUGGUCAGCUCCACGCCACAGUUGAGGGCAGUCUGCCCCCCGAAGGUUUAAAGGGGUCCAGGAUGUGCUGUAGGCUGUUCCGGAGAGACGUGGUAACGCCUCGGGGUGAAGUCAGCGCAGUGACAGCAGCGCCGCGGGCUGUGGCAGGUGGAAGGAACUGUCCCAUCACUCGACGCCCCGAGAGAAUGACCGGACAUUCCUAAUGAACGCCACUGAUGACCAAUGGAAGCCCCGGAGACGGACCAAUCACCGCGAGGACCCAAAUCCCACCAAUUCUGGACCGAGGGGGAUUAUGAGAGGGAGUGUCGGGCUGCUGCUCGCGGUUCUCCUGCGGAGCUGGUUUCCAGGGGAGCGCCCGGUGGGUCAGGGCUGGUGAUGCACUGUGUCGUUUUCCGGCUUGCUGAGAGGGGAAUCGGGCUUAUCUCGGGUCCUCCGCCUUCCACAGCUGUGUACCAAUAAACGGGUGCCGGUUUUUUGAGAGAGAGUCUCUGCUCCGUUUCUAACAAGCGAGUGGCUGUCAGAUAAAGCCCUGGUCUCGUUCAUAACAGUAGUGGUGGUGUGUGCUGCUCCAGGGGCAGGGUGGAGAGGUGUUUUUCCUCCUCCUGAUCUUUAUGCUUCCUAAUCCAACGCUGCGGCAGCAGGGUUGCAAGCCCGACUGCAGGGGGGCUCGGCGCACGGUCCCUGCCCCAUCCCCAUCCCCAUCCCCAUCCCCAUCCCCAUCCCCAUCCCCAUCCCCAUCCCCAUCC